CGGUUAAUUAUGGAUACCUAAGUAGGCUAGAUGGUUCCAAAAAAAUAGCAUGCCAAACAAGAUCAAAUCAUAAUAAAGGAAGGUUAGGAUGCGUACCUGGACCGCUUCUCAAGCGCUAUCAUAAAACAUCGAUGGUUAAUUUAAACAAUAUAUCAUCCAGCAUGUGUUUUAUUAGAAAUAAUCAAACAAUGAAACAUGUAUAUUAGAACACUCAAGCAUUAUUAGACAUAAGCAUUAUUUCAC
rnacentral:lncRNA from 1 species